rnacentral:rRNA from 1 species
GUACACACCGCCCGUCGCUACUACCGAUUGAAUGGCUUAGUGAGACCUCCGGAUUGAUAAACAGCAUCUGGCAACAGAAGCCGUUUGUUGAGAAGUUGGUCAAAUUUGGUCAUUUAGAGGAAGUAAAAGUCGUAACAAGGUAACCGUAGGUGAACCUGCGGUUGGAUCAUUA